rnacentral:lncRNA from 1 species
UGGUUAUGCUAAUUCUUUUGUAUAUUUUUUAUAUUUUUAUGUGGUACUUUUCUCUCUAAUCUUGGUUAUUCUAAUACUUGUGUAUGAUUUUUUUAUGUUUUUAUGUGGUACUUUCCUUUCUAUUUUGUUCAGUUUUUUGCUAUAUAUUUACAUUACAACUCAAAUACAAUAUAAAAAGUAUCUAAUAUUUAUGAAUUUUGCUGCAGAUCAAGACUGGAGCAUAGAAUCUGCAAAAGCCAAUGGAGCACAAAAUACUGUAAAAGACCAACACAAAAAAAAGGUUUAAGUAGCAUAUUCAAGAUUUUCAGCAAGUUGGUAUGAAGAAGAAAAAAUUUCAUAUCACCCAUAAAAGAGUUCCCUCAUGUUAAUGAUACAUUUCGAUAGGUUUCAAAAUCAAGAUUAUAUUUGUAUAUUUAUAAUCUACAUUGCAAAUUUUGAUUGAGGACAAAGAAAUACAAGCAUGUGGAUAUAUUUCAUUUUCAUUAGUUUUCUAUUUAUUUGUCUCAAGAACAGUAUUAAAUACAAAAAAAAGUUCAUUAUAUAUGUUUAUGUGAAUGCUUUCUUUCAUUGUAUUUACUGAUUUCCAUGUAAAGCAAACUCAUUAUAAUUGUGAAAAUAAUGUAAACAGCUAUGUUACAGAAACUAUAUUUUCAACAGUGCAUGUGGCGAGACUCCGAGUUGAUGAUAAUACCUUAUAGUGGUGGAGGUGGCAAAACUGAGAGUGCAUAUGAAAGGUGAAGAGUGAGGAAUGACGUGAGAUAUGGCAGCAUAUAACUGUUAAUCUGCAAAUUAACUCAAAUUAGAUUCAAAAUGCCAUAAAACAAAGUAAUCACCAAGUCUAAAAAGAGCACAACAGAGACACCAAAAAAAACUAUUCUGUAACUUAACAAUUUGUGUAGAUAUUCAUAGAUCUAACAUAAUAAUACCAUAAACACAAAAAUAUAACUCAAAACGAAAAAACUAAUAUGGAAAAAAAAUAAUAGAUCUUAUUCAAUAUUAAAAAACAAAGCAUCUUCCAANAAAAACACUUUUCAAACGAUAUUCCUAGAUCUACAAAACUGAUACUAUAAAAAAAAUGAAAAACUGAAAACUAAUAAACGAAAAAAAAUAGAUCUUAAUCAGUAUAAAAACGCUGGAAUUGGAAUUAAAGAUGCAAUCGAGGGAGACGGCCGAGAUCUGGAGCACUGGAACUGGAAUAAAAGAUGCAAAUAUGCAGUAGAGGGAGAAGGCCGAGAUCUGGAGCGGCUUGGGCUUGGGCGACGCCGUCGUUUGAAACACGAAGGGCGGUGGGGGGCGGUCGUAAGGAGUUGCCGACAUGAAUUUCAGAGAUAAGAGAGGAGAUUAGGCGAAAGCUAGGGUUUUAUUUUUGGGAGUGGCCAAAGACGCUGCUCGAUAAUAUGGCAGACGGUGAGAGAGAAGGUGAAUAUGGAGAAAGAUGGAAUUGAAGGGGAGAAAGAUGCAACGAGGGAGAAGAGGAAAAGGGUAAAUCUGGAGAUAGCGGCGCCGCUCAAUUGUGGUAAACCCUAAAAUGAGAUUGUGUUUACAUUAUUGUUAUGAAACAAUAGGGCCGAAUGACCCUAUUCAACAUACAACAUCAAAUUUUGUCCACCAUUUGAAAAAACAUAAAUUUUGGCCAUUUUUUGUAUGUCAUGACUAUUCUACCUUUCUCUCUCUCCUCUCUCUUUCUCUCUCUCUCUCUCUCUCACCUCUCUCUCUCUCAGCUCCUCUCUCUUUCUCUCCAGCUCGCUCUCUCAUCUCUCUCCAGCCGCCGCGCGGCAGCGGCGCCGAGCUUGGAGAAUUCGUCGGAGCUCUCGCGGCGGUGGUGGAGGAGAUCCUCCCUCUCUCUCUCUCUCCAGCGGCUGCCGCUCUCUCCUCUCUCUUUCUCAUCUCCCCCUCUCUCUCUCUCUCCAGCGCGCCGCCGUGGGCAGAAUUCGUCGGAGUAGAGGAUGAGGCGGCGGCGGCAGAUCUGGUCUGAUGAGGCGGCGACGGUGGAUCUGAUCUGAUCCUUGUGCCGCCUCCUCCAUCGGCAGAUCUGAUCUCCGCCUCCUUCGAUUUCAGCCAUGGCAGAUCUGAUCUGAUCUGUGUGCUGCACGUAUGGCACUUAUGGCAACCAUUGCCAUAAGUGCACACUUCCCCCUAGGGUUUAGAUAUUCCAUUUAGGGUUUAGAUUAUCCAUUUGAGGUUUAGAUGUUCCAUUUAGGGUUUAGAUGAUCCAUUUAGGGUUUAGAUGUUUCAUUUAGGGUUUAAAUGAUGUUGUUGUUUCUGUAUUUGUGCUACACGAAUGGCACUUAUGACACUAUUAGUGCCAUAAGUGCCCAAAAUGAUUAUUUUACUAUUUAUUUUAAUUUGGUAUGGCACUUGAUGGCAUAUAUAUUAGUGCCAUAACUGCCAAUGGAAAUCCAAAAUAAAACCAAAGUAAAAUCUUGGCACUUAUGGCACUAAUAGUGCCAUAAGUGCCUAACCCGACCCGGCACGCGGCCCGCGUGCCUGAUCAAAUCAAUAAAAAUUGCCAAAAUUUGUGUUUUUUCAAUGUGUGGCCAUAAAUUGUGUUUUAUGCUUCAUUUUGGUUACUUCAAAAUUUUACUCUUAUGUAGUUGGGUUGUUGUACAAAAUAAUUACUAAUAGUUGAGCUGUAUCUAUGGGCUUAUUGUGGGCUAGCCAUGUUACACCACCAAAAACCAGAUGUCGCCACCUCCAUGUGUAUCGAAAUAAAAUACAAUUCAAUUGUCUUUCAAAUAUAAAAGUGCAUGUACAAAAAAUAGUUUGGUGCAGAUUAAAAUCAAUAAAAUCCAUUUACAAAAAAAUAGAAUGUCAUUUAAAUCUGUUUACGUAGAAUGGGUGCUACUUUAUAUCAAACACCAAAAAGAAAAGAAAAAAGAAAAUAAAAGAUGAAGAAAUGAAAUGUUAUAAGUUAUGAUGAUAAAAUAAACUAUAGUGCAAAUUAAAUAUAUAAAAGUACAUUUAGGAAAUGAUAAAAUGCGAUUCAUUUUUUCUUAUAAAAAAUAGAUGCGACUAUUACAUAAUACUGAUUACGUCAAAAACUAACAACAGAGAAAAGAAAUAAAAAGCGAAGAAAUUGAAAUUUGCAAAUUACGUUGAUAAAUCAACUAAGAAUAAUAAAAAAUAAGUUUAGAAUUGCAUGAUGCAUAGGGUCAAAUUCAUGGUCAAUUACGAUCAGAAGAUGGGGCAUUCUUGUGUGCACCUGGGAGCACGAUUAUCAUAGCUCAAAAUUAUUUAUUUUCUUUACAAAAUUUAUUUGAAAAUUAUUACACUUUUAGUUGUGAAAAAAAAAAAAUUAUUAUUAUUAUUAUUAUUAUUAUUAUUAUUAUUAUUAUUAUUUAUUGAAUUUGUGAAUUUUUUUGUUCGCACCCCUAAUUGAUAAAAUGACUUUAAAAUUUAAAAUUUGAAAUUUGACCUUUAAAUAUAAGACUUACAUGCAUAACUAAAAAUUAUAUAAUUAUAGAUAUUAUUUGUAUAGUUAUUUAUAGUAAAAUAAAUAAAUAAUUUGAUUUGAAUAAGGAUACAUGCAUGAAACACAAAUUAUAACUAAUAAAUAAUUAAAAUAUUAUUUAAUGCAUGUAAUAAAAUUUAUAUCUAUAUGCAUGCAAUUUACAACAUACACGUAUAUAUAUAUAUAUUAUACUAAUUAAAAAAAUGAGUUUAAAACUAAUAGGUACAUAUAUAUAGUAUUUUAUAUACAAAGAUAUACAUCCCAUAUAAUAUGGUACACGUGUACACAUUCUAAAUUAGAAAAGAAGGCCUAUACAUCUAUAAAGCUAAACCUAUUUGAUGAUUAAUCAAAGCUAUGAAAUUUCAUGUAUAAAUAGAAUGUAAACCCAUUCUUAUUUCUUAAAUAGUACUACCAAAUAAAUUGAUUUUUCGAGCACUGUGAAAAUAAACAAAUCAAUUCAUACAUUUUAUAUAUAUAGCACAAGCACACACGAAUUACAUGCAAUAUAUAUCUAUAUAUAUAGAUUUACAUAACUGUAUAUUAUGUAUAAUAAUUAUAUUUAAAUUUACUUGAAUCUUUAUAAAUUGUUGCUCAAUUUUAUCAAAUUAGGUGGGGUGCGAUUAAAACGUUGAUUUUAAUUUGAGGUUCAAGUUAAUUUUCAAAGCUCACGUAUUAAAUGUGAGAUUUAUUUCAAUACAUGAUGCGAUUAAUCUUUGUCCAUUUUAAUAUUAUGUGUUUGUCAUAUGUGUUGUAAAUUAAAUUUUAUCGCUAGGGGUCCGCUCAAUGGGUCCAGGACUUCAGUAUCCUUGGUACGCAACAAUGCGAUUUCAUGUUACAGUUAAGGUUGCAACCUAUCGCCAGGGGCCUGCUCAAUGGGUCCAGGACUUUAAAGUCCUUGAUAUGCCACCGUGCGAGUACAAUGCAAUUUGUAUGUGUUGACCAUUUUAUUAACAUGGACAAUGAUUGCAUAUUUCCCACACUGAGUGUAUCUAGGGAUGGCAACGGGCCGGAUCUUAUCAGAUCCAGAUCCAGAUUCGUUUUAAUCUAUUAGAUCCAGGUCCGUCAGAUCCGCGGAUCCAGAUUCAUGGAUCUACUGUUUUUAAAUUAAAAUUAAAAAAAUCACAAAAUCAACAACAUCUAAUUGCUAUCAUGAAAAAUAUUGCACAAAAUACAUGCAUGCAACACAAAAUCUCAAAAUAAAAUAAACAUAAAAUAUAAAAAUAUAUAUUGUUUAUAAAAUAAACAUAAAAUAUACUAAAGAAUAAAAAAACGGAUCUAAAAAAUAUAAAAAAUAUUAUUAAUAAAAUAAACAUAAAAUAUUAUUAAUAAACAUAAUAUAUAAAAAAAUAUAAAAAACAUAAAAAUAUUAUUAAUAAAAUAAACAUAAAAUAACAAAAAUUGUAUAUUAAAUAAAACGGAUCCACAGGUCGGAUCCGGAUCUGAAAUUUUCAGAUCCAAAUUCAAAUCUGUUUUUAAAAUUGAGAUCCAGAUCUGUCGGGUCCAAAAAAAUGAGAUCCACACCCUGAAAAUCGGAUCCGAAUCUGUGAUGACCCGCUCUUUUAUAUAUAUUAUUUAAAUCCAGUAAUGCGAUAAUUAAUUAUUGCAUCUCUUAGUAAAGGGAAACCCAGUUGCCAGUUUAUAUGAAUUCAGCCGAUGUUCCUGAAUUUUUAUAUUUAUCAGAGUUAUUUGUUUUAUCGAUAUGCUUUUGAUUUCGCGUGAGAGAAAUCGCGACAUGAAUUAUUGAGCCAUUCAAUAAUUAUUAUUUCAAAGUUAUAACUGACUUAGCGAAGUCAUAUUAUUUAUUAAUCAAGAUGGAGCUAUCGUUUAUAUUUAAUUUAUCAUGGUUACUUGAGUCGGGAAUUUAUUCCGACUAUGAAGCAGAUUAAAUUUACGGAUUUAAUUGAUUGUUACAUUACAGUUUAUCAAUAUUAGCAAGGCGAGAAAUCAGAUAUCAAGAAGUUACAGAAACGCGAUAAUUAGAAUUCAAAACCAGUAUUUUAUUUACAGUACCAUACACGGUUACAAAUUAGUAUCUUCGGGUUGAGGGAUUAUUCUCGCAUACAUUAUAAUUUUGGACUUUACUUAGUCUUUUUUCCUAGAACACUUUAUUCUAGCAGAUUUUCUUAGAUUAACUCGGGGCUUUGACACAAAAGUCAAAGUUUAGAUAAAGACAUAUUGAAGGAAAGGGGUGUGUGCUGCAGAGAAAACAACUCUGCACUCCCUUCCCCACUCUGCACUCCCCACCUGUGCAACCAUCGACAAUGGUACUCUUCCAGUCGCCUUCCAAUGGCUCCCGUGUUCCCCCAAACCUCCGCACUCAGCCACCUUAUCUCUGCCCAUCUUGCUAGCAUACUCAAGUAUGCAGCAGUAAGUUCUUCUAUUAGUAUCAACCCAGCCAGUAAACAAUAUUCACUCCCAUCUUAUUUUCACUCCCAUCUUUAUUUUAUAUCACUUAAUAUAUAUUUAAAAUUAUAUUAUACUCUUAUUAUAUAUGAUAAAUACGUAUGAAUAAUCGGACUGUGCACUGUACACUCGAAUGCACUGUACAUCAGGGUGCACUGUACACCUGGGUACACUGUACAUCCGAGUGCACAGUCACAUCAAUUUAUAUAUUACACGUAUUAUGUAUCAUAAAUACGUUGAAAUAAUUGGACCGUGUGUAGCACGGGUAUAAUCAAGAUAACAAAUUGUUCGAUGGGAUGAUGUAUAUAAAAUAAUUAUUUUAUAUUUUAUGACAUACAUAAAAAAAUCUAAACUUUUCUUUUUUUAUUAUUUAAAUAAAAUUAAAAAAAUUGAUAUGUAGAAUCUUAAAACUUUUUUUUCAUAAGCCCAAUACUUUAUUUAAUGCUUUUAGUCCGUAUUAAUUACUUGAUCUUGGGCCUUCAUAUUUGUUGUAGGCCAAAUUAAAAUAAUAAAAAAAACUAUGAAAUUUGGUCCAUAUGUAGAAUUACUUUAUAUGCACACAGAUUUUUUAUGUUUUUUUAAAUAUUUUUAAUACAUAAGUUACCCAUUUAAUUAUUUAAUGCUUUAAGUUUAUAAAAGAAAAUAUAAUUCUAAAUAUAUAUUCGAUACAAUAUCAAAGUUCUUCCGUAUAUCAUUUUGUAGAGUCAAAGUACUUACAUAUAUCAUUUUAUGUAGUAAUAUAAGUAACGAAAUAUAAUUCUAAAUAUAUAUUUGUGUCGUAAUAUCAUUAUAUUUGUGUUGUACUAUCUUUUAAUAUGAACUGUAUGAUAUAAAAGUUAUUUGUUAUUUUAUUCCUAUUUUUUGUAUUAUGUAAUGUACAUGAUUAGUUUUGUUUAACCACUUUUCUAUUAUGUUUUGUAUCACUUUUGUUUUCUUUUUACAAUUCUAUAGUACCGCACUACCGCUACAAUACUUCACAAAUACGUAUCAAUAUUCAUGUCAUGCGAAGCGCGGGUAUGUUACUCUUAUUAUAUAUGUUGUGCGAAGCACGGAUAUGUUUUGUAUCACUUUUUUUUUUUUUUUGCUUUUUACAAUUCUUUAUGUUAUUGUUAUUAUAUAUGAUAAAUAUGUAUAAAUAAUUGGAUCGUGCGGAGCACGGGUAUAAUACUAGUCUUCUUUCAUGCCCAAGAAACCCCUUUUUGGUUGGUAGUAAAUCCAAAGCUUCCAUAAAGGCCACGAAAUUUCACCUUAACAAAUUAGUACUGUUACAAUUGUAAUACCGAAGAGCAACGAAAUUGAAUUCCUCAAUCAGACCCCUAAUUUUGACGAAAUGUUAGAACCAGAAGAAGAAAUUAUCAUACACCCCAUAGACUAUAACACUUAAAAAAUGAAAAACCAAAGAAAAUUGAGGAAGCAACGAAUUGACCUUAUAAGAAUGACGGCGGCGAUGGAAGCGCAUCGUGAAGGCUACAACGACAAUUAUGGCUCAGCAUUCAGGCGGACGGGGCGUCUCGAAGCCUGGGCAACGGCGAGGCUGGGCCUGGGGGAUGACAACUACGAGUCUACGAGCCUAGGGCUUGGGAGACGGCGAGGCUCAGCGGGGCCUGGGCGACGGCGUCGCGGGUCGGCUGGGACCUAAGCGACGACGACUACGAGCCUUAGAUCUGGGCGACGCCGAGGAGGGGCCAGGAGCGGCGCCACUUCUGCGGCUGGGGGACGGCAAGGCUAGGCGCAGAAGGGGCGGCGGGUGUGGGUGGGACCGUGGGAGGAAUGGGGGUGGCGGGUGUG